rnacentral:rRNA from 1 species
CCAUCAGAACUCCGCAGUUAAGCGCGUUUGGGAUAGAGUAGUACUGGGAUGGGUGACCUCCUAGAAAGUCCUAGUGUUGCACCCU